rnacentral:rRNA from 1 species
GACGAACGCUGGCGGCGUGCCUAAUACAUGCAAGUCGAGCGAAGCGGCGGAUGGGUGAGUAACGCGUGGGUAAAGUGCCCUUAAGUCUGGGAUACCAGUUGGAAACAGAUGCUAAUACCGGAUACGAAAGGAGGGGCCUGCGAUGCAUUACAUAGUUGGUAAGGUAACGGCUAACAAAGGCGAUGAUGCAUAGCCGAGUCUAGGUACUGAUCGGCCACAUUGGGACGAGGACACGGCCCAAACUCCUACGGGAUGCAGCAGUAGGGAAGCUUCCACAAUGGACGAAAGUCUGAUGGAGCAACGCCGCGUGAGUGAAGAAGGUUUUCGGAUCGUAAAGCUCUGUUGUUGGUGAAGCGGUAAUCAACCAGAAAGUCACGGCUAACUACGUGCCAGCAGCCGCGGUAAUUC